GCCGCCGUAGACCAACGGCAGAGUCAGCGCGUUCAGAAUGCGUUCAGUGGGAGUUCGAAUCUCCCCGGCGGCA
rnacentral:tRNA from 1 species